GAGGGUAUAGCUCAGUGGUAGAGUGUGUGCUUAGCAUGCACGAGGUCUUGGGUUCAAUCCCCAGUACCUCCA
rnacentral:tRNA from 1 species